UGUCGUCAGCUCGUGUCGUGACGAUGAUGGCGUUAAGUCCCGCAACGAGCGCAACCCUUGCCCUUUAGUUGCCAGCAUUAAAGUUGGGCACUCUAGAGGGACUGCCGAGGAUAACUCGGAGGAAGGUGGGGAUGACGUCAAAUCAUCAUGCCCCUUAUGCUUAGGGCUACACACGUGCUACAAUGGGUGGUACAGAGGGUUGCCAAGCCGCGAGGUGGAGCUAAUCCCUUAAAGCCAUUCUCAGUUCGGAUUGUAGGCUGAAACUCGCCUACAUGAAGCUGGAGUUACUAGUAAUCGCAGAUCAGAAUGCUGCGGUGAAUGCGUUCCCGGGUCUUGUACACACCGCCCGUCACACCAUGGAAGUUGGGGGCGCCCGAAGCCGGUUAGCUAACCUUUAGGAAGCGGCCGUCGAAGGGAAACCAAGACUGGGGGAAGUCGUAACAAGGUAACCUAAUCUAGAGCAUCGCGAGGUACCGAG
rnacentral:rRNA from 1 species